rnacentral:rRNA from 1 species
GUAGGUGGCAAGCGUUGUCCGGGAACUAUUGGGGCGUAAAGCGCGCGCAGGCGGUUCUUUAAGUCUGAUGUGAAAGCCCACGGGCUCAACCGUGGAGGGUCAUUGGAAACUGGAGAACUUGAGUACAGAAGAGGAAAGCGGAAUUCCACGUGUAGCGGUGAAAUGCGUAGAGAUGUGGAGGAACACCAGUGGCGAAGGCGGCUUUCUGGUCUGUAACCGACGCUGAGGCGCGAAAGCGUGGGGAGCAAACAGGAUUAGAUACCCUGGUAGUCCACGCCGUAAACGAUGAGUGCUAAGUGUAGGGGGGUUUCCGCCCCUUAGUGCUGCAGCUAACGCAUUAAGCACUCCGCCUGGGGAGUACGGCCGCAAAGGCUG